AUUGUGACAGGCUUGACAAAUGACAAAACAAGACUGUCAAAAUCCUACAAAGUCACAAAUAAAUUGAGAAAUUUAAUAAAAACACUACAAAACCAUUUUUUAUUUAGAAAAUAUGAAAGAAGUCUUGAAAUUGUGAUUUAUACAUCAUAAAUUUCUGAUGUGAUAAGUGAUGACGUCUGACGGUGGCUACUUAACCUUAAAAGUGAUAGUUUUGAAAGAAACAAACAUUGCACUAUCAUUGUUUGAUUAUCGCUCUGACAUACAGCUUUGAUAUGUCACAUUUUGGCGAUUUCAUGGACGGAGUGCCCGUUAAAAUAUCGGAAAAAUACAAAAAACCUCCAAGUAUUGAGCUACCGUACACCUUAAUAGAAUGCCCAAUCAGAGCUCAAAAUGUUGUGGACAACGUUAAAUAUUGUUCUAGUUUCGAGUCGAAUGUCCUUAUCAAGGUUAAAGAGCUGCGAAGGAUUAAGGAGACGAAGAAAAACGAAAGGAAACAUCGAUUACAGCUGUUGGAAGAAGCAAAACAGAAGAAGUUGGAUGCCAUAGCUUUGGCAGAGGAAAAAGAAAGGUUGAAACAACUGAAUGUGUCUGAAGUGUCUUACCCUAGUACAGACGAGAUAAAUCCACUGACUUCGGAUGAGAAAAAUGAAAUUAACUGUGAUAGUAACAUAGGUGAUACAAAAGAAACCGCUGAAGUUAGCAUAACAGAUAUUAAUAUAAUACCUGCAACAACUGCAAAUGAGUCGCAGAACAUUCUUCAACCAACACUUGUUAAGUUUAAUUAUGAAGGAAGUCUAUUAGAUGACCCUGAUCCAUUAGAAACAUACAAAUUAAAUGCUAAAGUGAGCAAAAUUCAGUACAAUCACAAUAUAGACACCUUGACGUAUAGAGAUUUUGAAAAUGAUACAUCCAGCCCUUUUGAUAAUGUUGAGUUGAAAACUAUAAAUGAUAUGGAGUUACUAGCUCAAGUAUUACAAAGUCAAAAAGAAUCUGUUGUCAGCUGUUCACAACAACCCCAUUUAAUAGAGCAAGGUUAUGGGGUACCUAACUGUGCCUCUCAAGCUCAAAUAGGAAUUUCUUACUUACCUAAUUCAUAUGUGGAGCAGCCAACACAAGAGCAAGGCUUGGUGUAUACACAUCAUUAUCCAAGUAAUUACUAUGCUCCAGAAUUGGAUAAUGCUAAUGUUCCACAGAAUUACCAGUACAAUGCCUCUCCUAACCUUUACACAGUACCCAAUUAUUAUAGUAAUCAAGUGAUAUCAGCAGAUAUAAAAGUUUCUAAUGAUGCACAGUGUUCAUCCCAGCCUUACUAUUAUCAGUAUUCACCAGCUCAGUAUCAAUUAGGCUAUAAACCCAAUGAAAUUGAGGAGCACUCACCACAAAAUCCUAUAAAAACGGAAACUUGUAAAGUAGAGGAACUGCCCAGUUCUCAGAUAGUAAAGUCAAGGUCCCGUAGUGUACCAGAUAUUGUCAAGGAACUAAACGAAGAGCUUGCCAAAUUAAAAAUGAAUGAUAGAUCUUACAACGUAAGCCCCGCUCCAGCAAACAUUCCACAGCCAUCUUCCAGCAAACAGAAGAAGAGUGAAAGAAGAAGAAAGAAGUCUGAGCAUUUACCCAAUCCCUAUGAUAAGUUGCCUCCUAAACUUCAAGGCAUGUGUCAGAGAAUACACGGGAUGGGGUUCUCUUUGGACAGGGUUGUGAGAGUAUGUACAUUAGUAGGUGAAAAUGAUAAAAAGGUGAGAACAAUAAAUUAUAAAUAGAUUUAAAGUAUGGAUUGACAAAGUAUCAUUGUGUGAGUAAUGUCAUUUUUUAAAGCAAUAUUCUUUUGUUAUUAUUAGUGUGUGAAAUACAGAAUUUACGCUUAUUAUGAAUGUGAGUAACAAAACUUAGAUGAAAUUGUUAUAGAGGCUUUCAUUUUUUCUUCAUGUUAAUUAUUUAAGGUAUUCAAUCGAUUUGUUUUCUGAUAUUUUUCAACACUGCAUCUCUGGAUGUGCUAGAGAGACCUGAAGCCGGCUCUAGUAGAUCUUUCUUUCUACUUCGUUCUGUUUUAAAUUAAUUUUUCAUUCUUUUCUCAUGUGAAGUGUGUUUAUUACUGAUAACAAUAGAUAGUGACCGAUAUUAUCAAUCACAGUUCCGCUUGAAUUUAGUUAGAUAAAUAAAUUUCUUGUAAGCCAACAGCAAUAAGCAAUUAAAAUUCGAGGUUUAAGGUAAAGUUGGCAGAAAUUUAAUAAUUUUUGUGAACUAUUGAACUCUAUGGGUGGUUCCUUACAAUCAUAGACUAUGUUAUGAUCCGAAUCUUGGUACUGAAUAGUAUUUUUUCUGAAUACAUACAUGAGAGGCUGACACAUGCUCAAGUUUGGUGAACGUUUAUAAUUAUAUAACAAAAGUUUUACUUUACUUACAUGACUGAUUUCAGACAUUUCUCUAUCUGUAGGAAAACAACAAAUUUUUUGAUGAAAAAUUAUUCACAAAACCAUUUUUCGUAGUUAAUAAGUUCUUCAUCAGCCCAUUUUUUUCGUUUUUAAGUUUCAACAACUCAAUUCGCCUUGGUAAACUUAUAAUAGUAAUGCUUCUUUUAUCCCACACAGCUGGUUAAUUUAAACCAAUUAUUUAAACAUUUAUUUCGACAUGAAGUCCCCAAUUCUGUCAUUCAUAUUCAUAUAUAGAUAUCAUAUUUGGCUGACAAAUGUGUAUUGACUCAUAAUGGUGUGAUUUAUUUUCAUUAUCUAAAUAGGUGCAUGAGUUCAUUGUCCUCCUGGUUUAUAGCGGUUAGUCAAAUUGGUUAAGUUUAAGGGCAGUUAAAACCAACUAUGCUGUGUGCUAACUAUAUAGCCAGAAACCAAGUUUUCAACUAGCUGUUAGUGAUUUUGUAUAUUACUAAUGUUAAAUAAUUUUAGGAUGGAUCCGGUAACUAGAUAUCCGUAGCCUACAAUCAAUAAAACAAAGUUAUUUAGUUAUUAAACGAUCACGAUGAAAGUGUAUGUUGUCUUUAUUAAUUUCAGGUGAUAGAAUGCCUUCUGGUCGUGGGUGAGAUGAUGGAUCUAGGCUUUUCGGAGGCGAGUGUGUUAUCAGCACUCGCUAAGCACGACUUCAACAGGGAUAAAGCGAUUGAUGAACUAGUAACGUAAAUUGUUAAGAGUGAGGUAAUUUAAUAAUGUAUGUAAAUGUGAAAGAAUAAUCUAUAUUACAGAGAAUAUAAUAUUAUGUAAUA